UGGUGUUUACCUGGAAAAACUUUGUAAAACUGUGCAAGGUACAGCAUUUGUUGCUGCUAAUAAUCUAGAUGCCCACUCUCUUGCAGGAUUUCUGGAGAGCGUCUGCAAGUUGAUGACCACUUGCAACCAAACACCAAAAAGCAGUCAGUUACCAUCUUGAUUGUAGUUCAUUUUUCAAACCACCAGUUGAGAUCUCAAAGGUGACCCCAAUUUUGCUUACCUCUUUCCCCAUGAAUGUUCAGAGUGAAAUUACUGCAUCAGUCUGGAUCUGUUCUUGAUGCAUUUUCUGUCAAUUUAGAUGGAAUCAAGGAUCAUCCAGGCAUGAUUCUCUGUUCUGGGUCAUGAUCAGGUCUCCCUGAAUUUGCACAUAUUGAUAAGAUUGUUCUUGCUAACACAGAAAUUUCAUUUGUUUGUCACAAAAUUACAGCCUGGUACUGUGAGCACUUGAGAUCAUACUCAGUUCUCUGCAGGGAUGUGACCUCAAUGUGUGUAGUUAGGAUUUCAGAGCUGAAUGAUGUGUUCCGAUUAUCAGCAUACGGUGCAAGGAGAACUUAUGGUGACUCUAAGACGAUAUGUUUUCUGCUAAAAAAUUAUUUAUUGUUCCCUAUAGGGAUGUGCAACAGAAGUUAACCAUUAGAGUUAUUAUCUCAGAGGGAGAUAUAAGAAAAAUUAUUAUGACACCAAAGCCUGACAGACUUGAAGAUUUGAUUGAGUGGCUCACAUGCACUCUCCCAACAAAUUACACCUUUUUCCAAUACCAAGAUCCUGAAUUUAACAAUGAACUCUGCAAUCUUACAGAUCUUUCUGAGCUUCAAGAUCAGCCAACCAUCAAAAUCCAAUAAAUGAGCUUAUACCGGUAUCUGCACAAAAUGAAUGUAUUAGUGAAAAAAGCAGCCAGGCACACACAGAGAUACUCUAUGUAUGUUCUCUGGAUAGAAGUUGUCAGGGCCAGAUCCAUUGAGCAUUCCAAAAUUUUCAGUGGAUCUCGAGUAUCCACUUUCUUCAAGGCAACCUACUGUAUAUGAGGGAUGAAACAAAUCUUAAAGUCUCGAAAUAGAUGAAACAUGAUAUUCUGGAGAAACUUGCUGAGACCAUAUAUAAGUUUAAAGCAACUCUGACAAAAAAUAAUUUGAAGCUGUCACCAAAGCCUUGAUACAAACCCACCCAUGUCUUAAAUAGAUAGGCUCAUGCUCUGGUUGGGAAGGAUGGAAAAAUAGCUUAAAAUUCCAGAUGGGAUAUUAGAGAAACAAAAUGCAUCAGACUUGAAGUCACUGUCAAUGCUGGUAAGCAGGGGAGGAACACUACAAUUGGCAACCCUACCAACAAAGACAUAAAGAAGCCAAGGAAAGGGGAAAUACACCUGAAAAUCUAGAAGGAAUGGAUGACCACAAUUUAGAAGGAGUAUGAGAAGUCCUUUUCAAUGAAAUGAAGAAGACAAAGCCAAAUGGAUCCCUCGUCAAGAAACACAUGGACCCAUUAUUUGCUCUUCACAGAAAAGAAGUUGUUAACGACAAGCCUCACAUAAGCCAUGUGAUUAUUCGAUGGCCAGCUCUUUUUACAGAAAGUUAGAGAUUUUGCCUCUGACGUCAUCCGUGUUCUCGUAAGCUGCUCGCGUUGAGUUCUUCGCCUCAAGAUGACAGAUCGGUCGCUUCAUGCGGUGCUAUUUCAAAUAAGAUGAUGGACUGGGAGUGCAGGGUGUGCAAAAAGAUUCAUCGUUCAAGACUCCACCUCCUCAGACACUAUAGACUACAACAUAGAGACUGCUCAAAAAUAAGUCCACUUCCAUAGUUGAAGGACGCUUACUGCUGAGUCCAAAGAGGUUCAUACCAGUUACACAUAAUGGACAGAAGUGAAAGCACAUCUGUAAGCAUUGACUCUUGUGCAAUGAUGCUACGUGUUGUUCAAGCUGAUCGUGCAAGGGAAAUUAAAUUAAAAAACACCCCUGUUUAAAAGAGCCAGGCUCUGACACUGGUUGGAACGGCUGGAAAACAAGCAUUAAGUUUAAGAUGGGCAACUUGAGAAGCAAAAUGAGGAAAAUUGGGUGUCUCGAAGUUUCUGUGAAUGCUGGGAAAAGAAGCCAAACCCACCCUGAGAAUGAACCAUCACAUUCCAAAAUAAAGAAACCAAGGUGUUCUGAGGUUAACUAUUUGCCUAACUUUCCUGUGGGGGAGGAUGAAGCAUCGCUGGAAACAAUACGACAAGAAAUUGCCUUAGAAGUAGAGAAGAGAGAAAUAAACCUUAGUCUCAUCCACAAGAAAAUGGAGAAAACAUUUGCUCUAAGACGGCAGACCAUAGUUAACACCAGCCCAUCGGUAAAAGAUUUUCUGCAUCUCUGGCCUGCACUGUGUGUAACAUCUGAGGUAAAUAAUGAAUUAGUUGUACUGUAUAUCUUGCUAAAUGUCAUGUGAUGUGAAUUAAUUUCACUAAAUUCUUUUUUGUAUAAUUCCGCUGUUUGCGGAGUACCAAGGUGUUACCAAUGAGAACCUGCCCCACAAUUUCUCCACACGACUGGACCACCACUUGCCUUGUUUAAUGACCAUUUUUCGACAAAAAGCAUCCAAGACUGGCAAGACCGCAGAUGCAUUAACAAAUCUUUUAAGAGUGCAUGAUGGACAGGAACAGCAUGAUGUGAACGCGACGAACUACUGUUAUUAGAGCUAUUCCCAUCUUGCUGCUUGACAAUGACUUGGAGUUCUUCAGGACCUCCCUGAUGAGAAGAUGAUUGAAAGAACUGGAGCGAAACCAUACCAAUGUGGGGUUUGUGUGAAACGAUUUAGACAAAGAAGUAGUUUAAGCAGACACCAGAGAAUACAUUCACAUGAAAAACCUUACAAGCCAUUAAGAACAUCACGGACGUCGCUGAAAAGGCGUCAAGAUGGCUGUGGAUCAAGCGGGGUGAUCCGUGGAUCAUACAAGCUACUCAGACACAAGCAAGGGUCUGAUCAACCAUGGCUGGGUCGCCUGGGCGAGGAUGUAUGAUGUUGUGAGACCCGAAACACCCAAUGAACCCAGGAUACAUCACUGAUGAUGUGUCUGUUAGUUUUGAAAUACACCUCUGGUGCAACUCAAAUGCUCUCAGUGUAAUAAAACCUAUACAAAUGCAUUGUCGUUGACAGCCCAUAAGAGACCUCACAUUGCAGAGAAACCUUAUAGCUGUGGAAAAUGUAGAAAGAGGUUCUCAGAUUCUUCAAAUCUGAGAGCACAUGAACAUCUUCACACUGGCAAGAAACCACACACCUGUGAUUUCUGUGACAAGUCUUUUAGUCGAAUUGACUAUUUAAUUCAACACAGGAGGAUCCAUAAUGUUAAAAAAACGCUACAAAUGCUCUCAGGCAGAGACAAAGAUCUCGGGCCAUGUAAGAAGCUGAUAACUCCAACUUCCUUCAAAGUUGGUUCCCUGGUGUUAAAUGUCGAGGUGGGUUCUGGUGAAGUCGUCAUCAAGGUUGCUAGAACCGGCUCGGCACCAGGCCCGAGUGGAGUGCCGUACGUCGCCUAUAAGAGGUGCCUUAGACUCUUGAAGAGGUUAUGGAAACUGAUUAAGGUCAUCUGGAGGAGAGGGAAGAUGGCUCAGCAGUGGCGACAUGCAGAGGGUGUCUGGAUCCCGAAGGAGGAGAGCUCAAGCACCAUCGGGCAGUUCAGACUCAUCUCGCUUCUCAGUGUUGAGUGCAAGAUCUUCUUCAGCAUUCUUGCUCACUGGACCAACAUUACGUUCCAGACAAGAUCAAGAACCUCAUACUGGACUAUUACAACUCCUUCAGUUUGAGAGUCACCUCAGAAGCGGAAACAUCUGCAUUUCAUCGGCUGGAGAAGGGCAUUAUCACUGGAUGUACAAUUUCUGUGAUAUUGUUUGCCUUGGCAAUGAAUAUGCUGGUGAAGUCAGCAGAGGUGGAGUGCAGAGGCCCAAUCACCAAGUCAGGCAUACGGCUGCCCCCCAUCAGAGCAUUUAUGGAUGAUCUGACGAUGACCAGUCCCGGGGUGCAGAUGGAUCCUCCAAAGGCUCAAACACCUCAUCAAAUGGGCUCAGAUGGACUUUAAGCCAGCCAAGUCCAGGUCCCUGGUAGUGAGGAAAGGUAAGGUUACAGACCAGUUCCGUUUCACACUAGGAGGCAUCCAGAUACCAUCUGUUCAAGAAAAGCCAGUCAAGAGCCUAAGCAAGAUCUACGACUGUUCCCUGAAGGACACCGCAGCAAUCCAGACGACCACUAACCAGUUGGGAAGCUGGCUGAUGGCUGUGGACAAGUCAGGUCUGCCAGGUAAAUAUAAAGCCUUGAUUUACCAGCAUUGCAUCCUGCCCCGACUGCUCUGUCCACUGCUGGUCUAUAAUGUUCCAAUCACCACCGUUGAAGGCUUUGAGAGGAAAGUCAGCUGUUUCCCGCGGAAGUGUCUAGGGCUACCAAGGAGUCUCCGUGACAUCGCCUUGUACGAUAGGAAGAACAAGCUAAAACUGCCUUUCAGUAGUUUGAAGGAAGAUUUCAUGGUAACCAGAGCAAGAGAGGUAAUACUUUACAGACUCCAUUGACAUCAAAGUCUCUUCAGCAGGCAUAGAGGUCGUAACUGGCAGGAAGUGGAAGGCCCAUGAGGCAGUAGAGCAGGCUGAGUCACGGCUGCGACAUGGCGAGCUGGUAGGAGUGGUGGCAUCUGGACGGGCAGGACUCGGGAGCAACCCAACACCUUGCUUUAACAAGGCCCAGGGAAAAGAAAGGCAGCAGCUGUUUCAAGAUGAGGUCCGAGCAGGGGAGGAGGAAGCUCGCGGCAGCAGAGCAGUAGGGAUGCGGCAGCAGGGGGCAUGGACCCGAUGGGAGCAGGCGGAGGAUAUCAUGGGCAGAAUUGUGGAAGUCUGAGCCACACCGGAUUAAAUUUCUGGUUAAGUCUGUCUAUGAUGUCCUCCCUAGCCCAUCCAAUCUAUUUCGCUGGGGCUUGUCAGAUACACCUUUGUGCCCACUCUGCAAGAGAGGAGGAUCAUUGGAGCACAUCUUGAGCUGCUGUCCCAAAGCAUUGGGAGAUGGGCGCUACCGUGUGAGAGAAGAUUUAGACAGUCGGGUCACUUAUUAACCCAUAAGAGA